UGUGUUUCAGUUUUGUAGAGCGUGGGAGGUUCUAUCGACAAAGCUUUUGGACGAAAGUGGUGUUGAUGAUAACAGAACGAGGUUUGGAAAGGGAUAGUGUACACGUACUCGACGGGGGUGAAUUACACCUAAGCUUAGAUGUCUUCAAAAGGCCAUCACUCACAACAACAUCCUCUUCACCUCAAUGGCUUCACAUAUGUUGUGUUCGGGACUAAGAAGCAUGGGAACGGGAAGAUUGAUGAGCUAGAGAGG